AUACAUCUUAUCGCAUAGUGACGACAGAUCUGGAGUGUUGGUCCCAAUGUUGCCAAUACCUAGGUGGUUGCUAUUAGACAACUAAUUCUCUCUUUGCCAUUUCCUCAUCUGUUGAAUGAUGAGGGAGUUCCAGGUCUAAGAACUAUGGAAACAUUCUGCUCCAAAUGCCUGUUGUUCGAUCCACAAAUAUGCCCCAAGAUUAUCCCACCAAUUGGUUACAUCAGGCUGUGCUGGCCACAGAGUGGCCCACGUGUCUGUUUUCCAAGGCCAAGUGCCUGGUCUAACUGUGUCCCUAGCUGGGCCUGGCAGAGAGGUGGUGGCCGGGCCAGCAGAAUGAUGUUGGUACAGGAAGAGGAUUUUUCUCAGGAUAAAAGGCUGACUCUAGCCUGCAGCUCAUGGCCUUUAAUAGCCUAAUGAUCACGUGAGAGUCCUUGGCUUGGUCUGGCCUGGCCAGGCCCUGAGCACUGGCAGGAGAGCCCCACCCAGGUUAAUUGAUCUGUUUCUAUCCUCUGACAGGCCCUGGGCAGGAGUUGGCACAUUUUCCUCUGUGCACAGAUCUUCCCCGUGCCAGGCUUACAAAAGGAAGUUUCCGGAGCUGAGCAGCUUUUCAGGAGCUCCAUGGCCAGUUCACCUCCCCAUUCUGACACCUAACGCCGUGAGGCUCCGUCCUUGAAGAGAUGUAACAUGUUCUGGAGAAGAUGUCAAGGGUCACUUCGAAGUGUGCACAGAUUCUGCUCACAAUCUCGAGACACAGCAAACUCUCCCCACCCGAGAAGAGGAUGGGAUGAGGCACACUGAAGAGGAAAGAAAACUGAUCCUGUAGCCACAGAAAAACAGGACUGAGACCAGGAAGGGCAAGUCGUGUGUGUCAGCAUUGUGGACCUUUAUAUAAAUAAUAAUUUUCCAGUGGGAACUGUGAUCUCUUCUUGUCUCUUCUAUUUUUAAAUGCUAAUUACUUCUGAUUUUGUUUACGUAGGCGGAGCUAAUAAGAACAUUUGCUUCAUAACCAUUGAACCUAAUGUAUCUGUUUUUGGACACUGGUGAUUUAUUUUUGCACACAUGCUCCAAAUUGGUGCUAAUUACUUUAAAGGAUCAGAGUUUCUAUUCCAAGAGGGAUGACGACAGAAUGUCAAUUUGGAGUCUCUGAGCAUAAUGUCCCAAUUAUCAAUGCAUUCCAGACCAGAAUGGACUUGGCACCUUCUUGAAGGGAUUUGGCUUCACUUUUAUCAGCCAGUCCCUGGUUGUAGCUUCAUUAAAACUUGCUUUCUAGUAACUUGUGGAUGUGCCUAUACUUUUCUCUGUCUCAAAGACCCUUCAGUGUCAUAUCAGUAUCCUGAAUACCUACCUUUUCAUUUCCAGAUCAAAUACUUCUCCCUCUGAGCCUUUUUUGAUCUCUUUGGCCCAAGAUAAUUUUAAUUCCUAAGAUUUUCUGAUUCCUUUCUUAAAGAGGUUAGCACUUUCUACAUUGUAUUGUAAUCAUUUGCUGUUACAUUCUUACCUCCUUUCUAACAGAUAAGCCCCUUAGUGACAAUACCUUAUCUGAAUUAUCUUUGUCCCCACUGCACACUGAAACUUCUCCUGGUGCCCUGUACAUAAUAAGUGCUUUACACAUUGAUUUAAUUGCGGUUUGUUUAUAAUAUCCUACAUGCUCCAGAAAGAUUUUAAGGUAGAUUUAAAUAAAUAUUUAUGCAACAAAGGAAUGAAUACAUCUAUACGCACACAGAAUUACUAAAGUCUAUAAUCAAUAUAUGAAGUAUAACUACACAGUACAAAAUUUAACCAUCAUACCUAAAAGAAAAACAAACACGAUGCUGUGGGGAAUGCUUGAGAGGUAGUAACAAAGGCUUUAAAUCUUAAUGACCACCAAAGUAACCCACAUUCCUGAUAUGGUAUUUGCUCAACAUGAAUGUUUAGAUGAACAGGAGAUGAAAACUAUCUGAAGUGAGGGGAGGGGGUGUCACUGACUACACAGAAUAAAUAUGGAGCAUAUUGUGACCAAGAAGAUAUGGCCACAGAGGAAAAAGAGCAAAACAGGUCCAUCCUAAUUUGUUCAUUUACCGUUCACUUAUUCAUCCCACAAACUUGUAUGGAGAAGCCCCUAUGUCAAAUGCUAUGCUUGCACUGUGGAUGCAAAGGUAAAUAAAAACAUCCUAGUUUAGCUGUUUAGACCAGGGGUCAGCAAACUAUGGCCAAUGGGCCAUCUCCGGAUCACUGUUUGUUUUAUAAAUAAAGUUUUAUUGGAAU
rnacentral:lncRNA from 1 species